AGAGUUUGAUCAUGGCUCAGAACAAACGCUGGCGGCGUGCCUAAUACAUGCAAGUCUAACGGGUAGCAAUAUCAGUGGCGCACGGGUGAGGAAUAUAUGGGUAAUCUGCCCUCGAGUCGGGGAUAACCAGUCGAAAGACUGGCUAAUACCGGAUAAGACCACAAGAUCUGCGGAUCUAGGGGUUAAAGGUUUUUCGCUUGAGGAUGAGCCCAUACGGGAUUAGCUAGUUGGUGAGGUAAUGGCUCACCAAGGCUACGAUCCCUAACUGGUCUUAGAGGAUGAUCAGUCACACUGGAACUGAGACACGGUCCAGACUCCUACGGGAGGCAGCAGUAGGGAAUAUUGCACAAUGGGGGAAACCCUGAUGCAGCGACGCCGCGUGAGUGAUGAAGGCCUUCGGGUCGUAAAGCUCUGUCGUAUGGGACUAACACAAUGAAGGUACCAUGCAAGAAAGGAUCGGCUAACUUCGUG
rnacentral:rRNA from 1 species